GCCUCUAGUCUAUGGAAGGGAGAUCCCUAUAAAGAAUACUAUGUUUAAUUAACUGAACAAUGAAGAUCAAAUAUGAGCAUCAAAGCUGCUCUCUACAAAAGCAUUCAAGGAAAAAUAUGCAUCUAAUGCACAUAUGUUUUAAUGAUAACUAACCACAUAAGCUGAUCAUUAUACUCAUCCUCCAAAACUUUCCUAUCUGGGCGUGAGGGAAAAUGUCAAGAGACCAAAUGGAAGGAGCGAGCAGAUUUUUAUUAGCAACAAACAUGAAGUGGCUCUAAGAAUUAAUGCUGAAUUCCUAACCAAGGCAGCAAAAGGCAAGAGAGAGACCUCCCAUGAAUCUAAAAGGUCAAUUGGCAAUUAGCAACCAACCUAACAGGUCAUCAUUUUAGCUUAUGGACUCAAGGGGCAGUUUAGAAUCUUCUAGACUUAGAAAGCACUACAGUUCAUAUUAAGCGAGAAAAAACAAGGCCCAAAGGAAAUAUAGCAUAAUA
rnacentral:lncRNA from 1 species